UACAGAGGUCUCAAGCGUUGUUCGGAUUCAUUGGGCGUAAAGGGUGCGUAGGCGGCGCGGUAAGUCGGGUGUGAAAGCCCUCGGCUCAACCGGGGAAGUGCACCCGAAACUGCAAAGCUAGAGUCUCGGAGAGGAUCGUGGAAUUCUCGGUGUAGAGGUGAAAUUCGUAGAUAUCGAGAGGAACACCGGUGGCGAAGGCGGCGAUCUGGACGAUGACUGACGCUGAGACGCGAAAGCGUGGGGAGCAAACAGG
rnacentral:rRNA from 1 species